UACGAAGGGGGCUAGCGUUGCUCGGAAUGACUGGGCGUAAAGGGCGCGUAGGCGGUUUGUACAGUCAGAUGUGAAAUUCCCGGGCUCAACCUGGGGGCUGCAUUUGAUACGUGCGGACUUGAGUGGGGAAGAGGGUCGUGGAAUUCCCAGUGUAGAGGUGAAAUUCGUAGAUAUUGGGAAGAACACCGGUGGCGAAGGCGGCGACCUGGUCCUUGACUGACGCUGAGACGCGAAAGCGUGGGGAGCGAACAGG
rnacentral:rRNA from 1 species